GACGAACGCUGGCGGCGUGCUUAACACAUGCAAGUCGAACGGAAAGGCCCUGCUUGCAGGGUGCUCGAGUGGCGAAAGGGUGAGUAACACGUGGGUGAUCUGCCCCUUACUUUGGGAUAAGCCUGGGAAACUGGGUCUAAUACUGGAUAGGACCAUGCUGUAGGUGGUGUGGUGGAAAGAUUAGUUUCGGUAAGGGAUGAGCUCGCGGCCUAUCAGCUUGUUGGUGGGGUAAUGGCCUACCAAGGCGUCGACGGGUAGCCGGCCUGAGAGGGUGGACGGCCACAUUGGGACUGAGAUACGGCCCAGACUCCUACGGGAGGCAGCAGUGGGGAAUAUUGCACAAUGGGCGCAAGCCUGAUGCAGCGACGCCGCGUGGGGGAUGACGGCCUUCGGGUUGUAAACUCCUUUCAGCCAUGACGAAGCCUUCGGGUGACGGUAGUGGUAGAAGAAGCACCGGCUAACUACGUG
rnacentral:rRNA from 1 species